rnacentral:tRNA from 1 species
CAAGGCGUAGCUAUAAACCCUAAAGCAUUCAGCUUACACCUGAAAGAUACCUGCAGACAAGGUCGCCUUGA